UCCAACUUUGGCCCAAGGUUCCGAACCCGAAGAGCGAUGGAAGCUUGCUUCUAUCAAUCUUAGUGGCGAACGGCGCCGUAGUAACGCGUAAUCAACCUGCCCUUCAGAGGGGGACAACAGUUGGAAACGACUGCUAAUACCGCAUACGAUCCAACCUCGGCAUCGAGGAUGGAUGAAAGGUGGCCUCUAUUUAUAAGCUAUCACUGAAGGAGGGGAUUGCGUCUGAUUAGCUAGUUGGAGGGGUAACGGCCCACCAAGGCGAUGAUCAGUAGCCGGUCUGAGAGGAUGAACGGCCACAUUGGGACUGAGACACGGCCCAGACUCCUACGGGAGGCAGCAGUGGGGAAUCUUCCGCAAUGGACGAAAGUCUGACGGAGCAACGCCGCGUGAGUGAUGACGGCCUUCGGGUUGUAAAGCUCUGUUAAUCGGGACGAAAGGCCUUCUUGCGAAUAGUUAGAAGGAUUGACGGUACCGGAAUAGAAAGCCACGGCUAACUACGUGCCAGCAGCCGCGGUAAUACGUGGGUGGCAAGCGUUGUCCGGAAUUAUUGGGCGUAAAGCGCGCGCAGGCGGAUCGGUCAGUCUGUCUUAAAAGUUCGGGGCUUAACCCCGUGAUGGGAUGGAAACUGCCGAUCUAGAGUAUCGGAGAGGAAAGUGGAAUUCCUAGUGUAGCGGUGAAAUGCGUAGAUAUUAGGAAGAACACCAGUGGCGAAGGCGACUUUCUGGACGAAAACUGACGCUGAGGCGCGAAAGCCAGGGGAGCGAACGGGAUUAGAUACCCCGGUAGUCCUGGCCGUAAAYGAKGGGURSWAGGUGUAGRAGGUAUUCGCACCCCCUUCUGUGCCGGAGUUAACGCAAUAAGUACCCCGCCUGGGGAGUACGACCCGCAAGGUUGAAACUCAAAGGAAUUGACGGGGGCCCGCACAAGCGGUGGAGUAUGUGGUUUAAUUCGACGCAACGCGAAGAACCUUAYCAGGUCUUUGACAUUGAUGGACAGAACCAGAGAUGGUUCCUCCUUCUUUCGGAAGCCAGAAAAACAAGGUGGUGCACGGGUUGUCGUCAGCUCUCGUGUCGUGAGAUGUUUGGGUUUAAGUUCCCCGCAACGAGCGCAACCCCUUAUUCUAUAUGGUUGCCAGCACUUAGUGGGGGAAAUUCUUGAAAAAUGGCCCCAAACAUGGCGAAGGAAGGGGGGAAUAACUUCAAUUCUUCUGGCCCUUUAUAACUGGGCUUCCCCCCGUCCUCCAUGGGAAGUUAAUAAACGGAACCAUUCCCGCAGGGGGAAGCAAACCCAAAAAACCUUCUCUCAGUUCGAAUCGAAGGUUGCACUUCGCUUACGUGAAGUCGAAUUCGUUAGUAAUCCCAGGUAACCUUAUUGCGGGAAAUCCUUUCCCGGGCCUUGACCCCCCCGCCCGCCACACCACAAAAGUCGAAAGGGCCCAAAGCCGGUGGGGUAACUUUCGGAAGCCAGCCGCCUAAGGUAAAGUCAUUGAUGGGGUUGAAGUCUUACCAGGGUACCCUUUUCGAA
rnacentral:rRNA from 1 species